rnacentral:lncRNA from 1 species
GCAAGUCAAAAGUCACCCGUGCUGGUCAGCAGCGGCACGGGAGAGAAUCGAGGGUGGAGGCUCAAGUUUACUGCGUGGAAGGAGGCAGUGGUAAACCACUUCCAGAUUUUUACCAAGAAAACUCUAUGGAUCCACUACCUGGAUGGCUGCAGAUGGAGAGCGGGGCUUUCUGGGAGACAUAUGUCCAUGGUGUCACUGUGGACUGGAAAUGACUCGACGGCAUAAGACAAGAAGACAAGAUUGUGUGUGCAGAACCCUGUAUUAAAUGCCUGGGAGAGUACAAUACAACAGAGUUUUUCAGAGGCUAUGGUGGGCAGUGGGGGGUGUUGUUUAUUUUCUAUGACAAUUGUUAAAUGCUUACUAGGUGCCAGGCACUAGUACUAAGCUCUGGGAUAGGGACAAGUUAAUCAGGUUGUGGGCAGAUAAUGUGUCUGUUAUAUUGUACUCUCCCAAAUGCUUAGUACAGUGUAAAUGCUCAGUAAAUAUGAUUGACUGACUGACUGACACAGUCCAUAUCUCACAUAGGGCUCACAGGUUUAAUCCCCAUUUUACUGAUGAGGUAACUGAGGCCCAGAGAUCUGAAGCGACCUACUCAAGGUCCCACUGCAGACCACUGACCGAGGAGGGAUUAGAACCUGGGUCCUCUGACUUCUGACCCCUGCUUUAUCCAUAGAGUUGGAUGUUUCCCGCCCGCUCACGCUGAGCAGGGGAUAGAAUCCAGACCUUCUGCCUCCCAGAACCAUCCGAGCUCUUUCUGACGGGUCACCUUGCUGCCUCCAAGAUGCAACCUCAUCAGAAGGAUUCGUUCCGCCCUUGUCCGCACAUGGGAGAGCUCAUCAAGCGAGGUAACAGAUGUGACCUCUGCCCACAGGAGCCCCAGAUCUCCUUCUGACCCCCCUGGGGUAGAAGACAGCUCCAUUCCUGCCCUGUUCCACCCACAGAAAAGACUCAAGCCCGCGUCGGGUUCCCCCCGUGAGGAAAUGUCAGACACAUCCAUCCCUUAUUGGUUUCUAAGGCAACAGGUAAUGCAUCCGGUCGGUUGGCUUCGACCCAGCUGUUUGCAUUCAGGGUCCGAGGGAGCUGGGGCUGACUGCUGGGCUGAUUGGAGCGGAGGGGGAGUCAUCGCAGCUGGGGAGACGGUGGCUAAAAAAUAAACUGUUUGCCUGCCCUUGGGUCAGUGCAUUGUGUAGGGUCAUGGACCCUACCAGCUCCCUCUUCUGUUUUC